rnacentral:rRNA from 1 species
AGUGAACGCUGGCGGUAGGCCUAACACAUGCAAGUCGAACGGCAGCACAGUAAGAGCUUGCUCUUACGGGUGGCGAGUGGCGGACGGGUGAGGAAUACAUCGGAAUCUACUUUUUCGUGGGGGAUAACGGAGGGAAACUUACGCUAAUACCGCAUAUGACCUACGGGAUAGAGCAGGAGAUCUUCGGACCUUUCGUGAUUCAUUGAGACGAUGUCGGAUUAGCUAGUUGGCGGGGUAAAGGCCCACCAAGGCGACGAUCCGUAGCUGGUCUGAGAGGAUGAUCAGCCACACUGGAACUGAGACACGGUCCAGACUCCUACGGGAGGCAGCAGUGGGGAAUAUUGGACAAUGGGCGCAAGCCUGAUCCAGCCAUGCCGCGUGAGUGAAGAAGGCCUUCGGGUUGUAAAGCUCUUUUGUUGGGAAAGAAAAGCAGCAGGUUAAUCCCCCGAUGUUCUGACGGUACCCAAAGAAUAAGCACCGGCUAACUUCGUG